UGGACGAGCGCAGUCAGGAGAAGUUGCUCGUC
rnacentral:scRNA from 1 species